rnacentral:lncRNA from 1 species
GCGCCUGUGUGCUGUUUCUGUAAUGUUUCUAGCAUAUUCUCAUCUCAGGCAUGUGCUCUCCCUACUGUACUGAGUGAGGCUUUUCUGCACACGCCAUCUGGGCAGAGGUGUGAGCCCCAGACCACACUCCUUCCAGCUUUCCUCUCUGUACUGGAUCCAUAGCAGCCUAAGGUCACUUACUGGCUGUUUGCCAUCUUUUCACCAGAAGAGCUGCCAGAGCUCAGGGGACCUUACUCUGUUUACUGCCUACUCCCUCAAGGAGUGGCAGGCACUGUGGAUACAUAAAUCCAUGAAUGAAUAUAUAAAAUGAGUAUUCAUACUGUUUUUAAAAUCCACAAUGAAAUUAUGUAUCUCUGUUAACAGGACUACUGAGAUUUAGCAUGCUUUCCUCAGCUUUUCCAUAAACUGGAGCCUGAGACCGGGAAUUAAAGCAAACCGACAAGCACUUUAACAUACAAAUUGUGUGUGUGUGUGUGCGCGCGCGCAUGCUUACCUGUCAUAUUGCAAGUCCUCUGGUUGCUUUCAAAAUGGUACUGUCGCCGAGCUUGGGCAAUGUAUUCUGCAGCUUCUCUUUCUUGUAUUUCUCUAAUUUUUUUCUGUCCAUAUUUUCCCAGGAUAUAUACUCCUAAAAUCAUUAAAAAACAAAAAAGUAGUAUAUUAACUAGAGUACUAAAAAUUCCAACCAAUAUUUAAGCAAUAAAUCCCAAUAAUUCCAAUAAAUUUUUGAUUAAAUUAUGAGGUUUAUAUUAGGGUCAACCUCAGAAUUACAGCUUCUCAAAAACUUUUAUUAAAGAACUGAAAAAGGGAAGGAGAUUGUAGUAUUUAUUUAUUUAUAUUAUAUGUAUAAAUAUAUUUUAAUAUAGCCAGUAAGUAAAGAAGAGAUUGGCAGACAAGCAGCAGAAAGGCACUGAAUUUAUAAAGUCUGGCAGCAUCUUUAAUAGUUAACUGAAGAUAUUCUAAACAUUCAGCAACAGAGGAUUAUUUAAAUAAAUCAUGAUCUAUUCACAUAAUGGUAUCUUAUGCAGCUAUUAAAAACCACAUUGCUAAAUAGUUAAUGACUCAAGGAAAGAUCUACUUUAUACUAUUAGGUGAUAAAAUAACAUCCAGGAAGUUUGUAUUUUAAUAGAAUAGAUACACAGAAAAUUACAUAUUUAAUUUCUAAAGUAAAAUAAACUGUGAUAAUUGGGAUUUUGUUUGCUUUUCUAUAUUUUCCAUGUUUUCUUCAGUGACAAAGUUCAUAUAACUUUACAAAUCUCUACAAUAAAAGAUUUAAAGGAAUGAAAGAAAGGUAUAUAGUCAGGAAGACAUGUAUUUAUCCACCCAUGUUUUAGAAAAAAGUCUGAGAAAAUAAGAAAAUGUAAUCUACUUUAUCUAAAACUUACUAACUCAAAUGACAAAGGGAGCAGGAAGACAGCAUCAUAAGACAACAGUAUAAAAUAUGGCAGGGUUGUGUGGUCUUCAGCACAGACAAGGUAAGUGAGUGCAGUUUUGUCAUAUACUGGGGGAGUGACCAUUGGUUUUCUUAAGUGGGAAUAUGAUGAACAUUCCAGUGUUAAAAUGUGAUCAGUAUACACUGGCAGUCAUAGCCUCUUCUUUAUUUUGGACAAUUCCACAUAUGCAUACAACACACUGAGCUCACAGUCACCCCUGUCCCUAUUACCCACUCUUAUUUCUCUCCCACUCCUGCUGAUGCACUAUUUUUCUGAAGCAGUCCCCCACACAAGAUGGCGUGUUUUAAUAAGCCAUUUCUGAUUAGCAUCAGAUAGUUUACUAAACAGUACAAUGACUAGCAGGAGUCAGUAAGUGUCUAAGACACUUGAUUAGCUGAAACAUUUUAGUACUAUUUCUACAAACAUGGAUGUAGCUUUAGGAAGGCCGUUCUCCUUUUUCCGGCUUAACCUGGAACCCAGGAAAGUCUUCCAAAUCCAGAGUUACAGCAAUGAUAGUGUCUGUCACCUUUGUUUUGGGUACAUGAUUUUGUCAGAGUGCCAAAGAAUACCAGAAUUCAACAAGCUGCAUUACUGUUUUGUCUUUGCUAAUAAGUGCCGAUGUGUGCCAGAACUUGCUUUCAUUAUAAAUUCUGGCGGCAAGGGCUCAGGGGGCUAACCAUUUCUCACUUAUCUCCACUGUCUGUGGCUUACAGUAUCUCCCCAAAGGCCACAAGGAUUAUGUACAUCUAGUUGGAGUUGGUCUGUUUCUCACAAGCAAAGAAAAGGUAGUCAUCAGGAACUGCAAAGCAAACAUAUCCUAAACUAUUUUUACUAAGACAGAUGUUGUAGAUGAUCUAACAGAUUAUAUAUCUUUAGAUAGUUCCACAAAAUUCUGUGCUAAAUAGGAAUCGUAUGGUUGUUGUUACUACACAUGUAAAUACAUGCACUAUAACUAACCUUCAAGAGCAAACAGAAACUCAUAAAAGCUGUUCAUCAGUUGUCUUUCUGUAGCAUGACAGCAGCACAGCCACACCAUCCAGCUGAGGCAGGAGAGUAGCCUGGGAUGUACUAUGAGAACCUAUUCCCCCUCCCUCCUCACCAAGAUCCCAAGAGAAUGAAGAAACUAACUUUGAUUAGGCAAAGUGACCCUCCAACAGGCAAUUCUGGUUCAACUAGUUCCGAACGCAUUGCUUGUAUCUUAUCUCCAUACCAUAUCACAGAAGGUUACAUACACUGCGAUUAUUAUCUCUCGUUAUAUUGUAAAACGAAUCAUUGAUGUGACACUCUUUACUUGGUAACUGCAGUAUAGUCUAGCUAAAGCUAAAAAGGAAAAUAAUUUGUUAAGGGCUAAAUUGUGUCCACUCCUGGCUUGUGCCAUCAGCUGAUAUAUUGAAGGCCUAGCACCUUAGAAUAUAAGGUCGAUACAAAGUGAGAUCAAUGGGCCUCGACCCAACAUGGCCAGAGUCCUGAGAAGAACACAAAAUUUAGACAAAGAUAUGUGUAGAGAAAAGACAAUUUGCGAGCUCCUAGAAGCUCUGUGGCUUUAUAACAGUCGGUAUUCAGUUACAGAAGACAGCGUGAAACAAGAUGAUCAUCAUGUGGCACAGCCUAGUACAGAUCCCUUUUAAGUGACUGAAGAAACAAACUCUACAGACACCUUGAUCAGGGCUAUUAACUUCAAAAGUAUAAGGUACAUUUUAAUUUUGUAAAUUUCUCCUUUGGUAGGUUUUUACUGUGGAAGCACCAGAGAAGUCACACAUGAGAUCAGGCUUAAGUCCUAGACACACUGUUUUACCUUAGUUAUCACUGAUAUUGCUAGUCAAGGUCUAGUUUACUUAGGAUCCCGUAUACAAAAUUCACAAACUGACUCCUUCUAAUGUUUCUCUAGGAAAUACUAAAGAAAGAAAGAAAACGAUCAUUAGCUAGCACAGACUCGGGGCUGUAUAUGCUUCUCUGCCAGGCUGACUCUAGGACUAGAAAACAGGCAUUAAUGAUGGCUCUUGGUCAGCAAGUGAGGUAACUUGGAGCAGGUCACUUACUCCCUCUGGAUAUACAUCUUUUUCGUGUGUAAAAUCAAAUAGCUUUACC